UACGUAGGUGGCAAGCGUUGUCCGGAAUUAUUGGGCGUAAAGCGCGCGCAGGCGGCCUCUUAAGUCUGAUGUGAAAGCCCCCGGCUCAACCGGGGAGGGCCAUUGGAAACUGGGAGGCUUGAGUAUAGGAGAGAAGAGUGGAAUUCCACGUGUAGCGGUGAAAUGCGUAGAGAUGUGGAGGAACACCAGUGGCGAAGGCGACUCUUUGGCCUAUAACUGACGCUGAGGCGCGAAAGCGUGGGGAGCACACAGG
rnacentral:rRNA from 1 species